rnacentral:lncRNA from 1 species
ACUGCUUCCUACUGUCAUAUUUGUAAAUGAACCUGUGAAAACAGUGGAAACCAAAACUUUUUCAUUUAAGGUGAGAAAUCCAUGAAUGGACAUAGACAGAGAGGCAUAUAUUUGAAGGAGGGAAACAACCCACAGCAGCAUAUAUGGAAUUGAUAGAAAUGACAACAGAAUUCAAUGGUCAAAAAGAUUACAAAUUUGUCUGUGUGGAAAAAAGAUUUCAAAGCAAUUGGUACCUCUUAUUAAUAAAGUUUUAACAAAGGAAAAGCAAGUAUCAUAUCACUAGCAUCAAUUUUCUUCAACCCUCUUCGAGAUUAGUCAACAAUUAUGAUUACCAAUAGCUGGUUGUGUACAGGUUGGAAUAGCUGAAAAACAUAUUCCAUCGGUUAAUCAAAUAGAGAUUGAUAUAAUCCCCCCAAUUUUUUUUUUUUUUUUUUUUAACAUAGAGAUCAAUAUAGUAUAUGAUACAGAAGGUGAAACCAUGUGAAUGUGAUCAAGGUAGGUAAAUAAAGUUCAAAGUUUAAACAAGUAGAUGUGUUUAACUAAGAACCAUAGAGAGAGAAAAUUUCAUUAUAUAUCUAGGUGCAUUGCGUAGAUAUAUGAUUUGAAUUGAGCUGUCCUAGCCCAAAGCCACAAAUCAUAUACAUAGUACACAUGUCCCAGGUACAACAUUAAACUUCCUUGUCUAUUAUACGGCUAAAAUCUACUCCAACAAUUUCACAAUAUCUAGCAGAAUCAAUAUUGUUCUAAGAUGAAUCCACUGAAAGGGACAAAAUGAAGAAAUUCAACCUAUAGUACAUUAGUACUGCAAAACCAUAGAUAGCAAGCUUAUUAAAUUUUCACCAUACCCUUUGUAACUUCCCUCAUACUUAUCAAUCCAACCUGCAAGGCUCAAAGAUACUUAUUCCUCAGCAUUCAAAUUUCUAACUGCUGGAUUUUAUGAUACUCAAUUAUGCAGUGACCUUUCUAUAUUAUAACUGUACCCAACUGUUCAGGACAAUUGGUAGCUUAUUAACUGAUCACAUAACUUACUUGCUAAACAAGUUAAGCUGCCCUUGAUUAGUACCCUGAAAUUGUUGUUUAUCAGAAUUGAAAUUGGAGUAUAAACUUACAGAGAUAGAAUCCAAGAGAAGACUGGAGAGAUCCCCAAGUUGUAGCUUUUGGAUAGAUUUGUUAUUCAUCAUCCAAAGUCCAAAGCACAUAUAACCAAGAAAUUGGUCCCAAAAUCCUAUAGCUGGAGAAAGAGUUGAUAUGAAUGGUAUCAAACUGCAUCUUAAGCAGGUUUUACAGCUCAAUGAGAUGAUGACCCAUCUCAGGUGCUGUGAUUAUCCAUCCAAUAAAACACAUUGGAUACACUGAAGGAAAGAAAGGAACCCCUUAAUGUUAAAACUAGCUUUGCCCAAAUAAUUGACAUGGGAUAAAAAUAGUCAAAAACUCACUCUCAUUGCUCCCUAUACAGGACUCCUGUUUCUCCCAAGGAGACCUACAAAAGAGAAAAAAUUAAACCCACACCCUCGUUUCUUAUUUGGACCACACUAUUCCCUCUCUGUCAAUUUGCAACUCAUGUGACCCUGCCUUAGUCCUAUGCUUUUGGAUGAAAGAUGUAUACUUGGCUCUAAUGCAGCUCUGGGAUUGAGGCUUUCAAACUUAGUUGUCUUUAUUUUCUAUCUAUCAAAUUUAAGACAGCAGAUGAAUGCCAUCCUUAUCUUCAUCUUGGCCCCAACUGUUACAGAGCCUCCCAGGCUUUUGAAAUAUACCUAUCAAAUUUCAUAAAUGUCACUAAUGAACCACACAUGCACUACAUCAACAUUACUGUAAUUUUCCCUCCUUUAGCCAUCUGGGUUCUUCAUUAAUUUAUAAUUUUGUUGGAGCUUGCAAUAGAAAUAUAUCAAAGUUGCACCAGUAUCCAAAUUCCAAAGACAGUACAAUUUUUUUUUUCCUUUUUUUUUUUUGAAAAAAAAUUAGUUUUUCCAUUUUAUCUUUGAAGCUAGAAUUGAGACAUGCAAAUCAAUUGGCCAGUUUACAGGGAUCCUGUGUGUUAUAGUCAGACCAUUCGUAUAGGAAGCAGAUAGGUACAAUGCUGGGUUCACAGGGACCCAAGAAAUUAAUGGUUGCAAUUGUCACUGUCAUAAAAUAUCAACACAAUCACUUACCUUAUGGCAUGUUUGAUUGAAUUUGUUUUGCCCCUUGGCUUUUUCUCUUCUGGAGUUACUGAAAACCCUGCAUGGAGUCAUGGACUUUUUUCUUGCUCACUAAACAAGCUUUUUGCUCUCAUUCAUAUCCAUGAUCUGCUUUCUGCUGCAGAUUCAUUUAACUUUUUGUUACCAGUUUGUUCUGAUUUUCCUUUUUACAUCAUAUUCCUUUUCUUCUCCAAAUUUAAUCCAUGAGCUGUAACCAGAAAGCUCUUGGGAAUUCAUAUCACAAGCCUAAAUUGAUGUAAUAGUCCUUCCUGACCAUGAAUAGAAAUAAUACUGGGCCUAAUCUGUUUUUCUUAUUUGGGUCUAACCAUGAAAGUCCAGUGGACCUCCAGCUUUUAAGAAGGCAAUAGGCCAACAAAACUGUGCACCAUUCAAGUUCAAUAGCAUUGCAGCAUAUUAAAUUCAGUUUUCUCAAGCAACAGAUACAUGCAUAAACCAAUGGAAAAACAUAACAAACCCAGUGAAGCUGAAGCCGUCUUCACCACCAGUCAUCAACCAACGUCACAAUUCUGCCAACGCUUUCCUGAACUGAGUGCAUAUGCGGCCUACUCAGGAGGAUAGACUUGAGUGACUGGCAUCCAAGCACCAUGUGCUCGAUAUCAGACCAACAAAAUUCACACCGUCGAAUUACAAGAGACUCUAGACACCUGUGACCAGAAAAUGCACGUACUCCGGCGCCAGUUACAUUAGAGCAACCAGUUAAAUCAAGAAUCUCUAAGUUGGGGCAAUUCCCAGCAACAUACACCAUGCUUUGGUCCGACACAUUCGUCAACCUGCCCAAGUUCAAUUUCUUGAGGGAUCGAUUUGAAGAGGUUGCAGCAAUAACUCCAGUAUCAGUGACAUCGCACCUAUCCAAAUCCCGCUCUAACAGGAAUUGGAAAUUUUGCAAAUGCGAGAGCCCCAAGUCAGUUAUACCAUAGCAGGCAGCCAGCACCAAUGUGUUGAGGGUCUUUGAGCACCUUCCAUGUGCUAAAAAUCUCAAACCAUAGUCGGUAACCUUGGAAUCUUCUAGAUUCAAAUAUCUUAAACAAGUGCAAUGUAGCCCAAUUGCUUCUAACGCAUUGUCAUCGACAUCACUGCACCUUCCCAAAUCUAAAUCAGUCAAAUUAGGAAACCUAUGUAUCCAUCUGUCAAUGGAUGCACGCCAUCUCCCUCUGACCGAAACCUUGGACAGUUUCGGAAGGCCGCCGCCACUUGACAGACCGUAAAGACCGUUCUCCGGUAAAAACCUUGAUAAUAAUUUUACGGCGUUGAGAACGAUGGCCUCCAUUUUGGGACAUGUUUGGGCUAUGAAUUCGAGGUCGGCUUCCUCAGAGAUAGACUCGGAUGUGCGGAAUGUAACUAGAUUCGGGAAUCGGGGUAGCAUCUGUCGGAGAAGACUGAGUUUGAAAAGACGGAGUGAUCUUGUGGUUAGACCCUCCAGUGUGAACCAUAGUUUGCAGACUUCGGAGACCCGCUUCCGAUCAUCCGGCUGGCUGACCCGUUUGAGGAUGUGACCUAAUAGAUCGUCAUUCAGAUCAGAAAUCUCCACCAUCUUUGGUUUUCUGGUUUCUAGGGUUUUGAGCAACGUAGGGUUUAGGGAUUUAUAAGAAAUUUUGGGGGACAUUGAAUCGUGGUAAUAGUCGGGUUUCCUCGGCCCAAAACAUAUCUCUUCGGGCUCGUUUUAAUGGGUCUGAAUACCAAAGGCCCAACACAGAACCAUUGGUUUAUUGGGGUUCUGUUAUAACAAAGGCCCUGUUAUAACUGGCUGAAAUUUCAUGCUCUAAAAGGAGUAAAAUCCAAGUGUGUACUUGCCAUUUUCAUUUUCAAUUUCGUUUUGAUUUUGUUGCUGUCAACAACAGUCAAUUGAUCCAUGGGGAAUGCUUUGCUGGUUCAGGCUGCUCUUCUGGAUAAGAUAAGUAGAAAUCUUAGUAAUAUUGGAGGGUUGCUCUGGCUUUUCAUACAUUGUCCUAUUAUGCUUGAAUAUGACGCUUUGGCAAUCAGCCAGUCAUCCAAAGAGUAUCUGAUGCCGGGGAAAGACCUGAACCCGGUGAUCAUCAAAUUGAAGUUAAGAAAUAGAAGCCUAAUAGCUAGGGCAUAUGUUAGCAGUCGAAGACAAGCGAGAAAAAUAAAGUGAUACAGGUCUCUCUGUCUAGAGAUACUACUGAUACAUCCAUACUUAUUAGUUCUACUGUAUAUGUAGCUGUAAGUUGCAAAUUCAUUGACCAAACAUGAAACAUGAACACAACAAAAACCCAAACAGACUCGCUCAUUUAUUUUUAAAACACCGUUCACCUUCUUUGACAUGAAAAUUGAAGAAAAAACCAAGCAUCAAAUUUAAGUUCUGCACAAACACCUAUAAAUUACAUAUCUACCUUCUACCACACAAGGGUCCAAAUGCAGGUCUAAUACAACUUCAACUUGUUACAACCUUUCCCAGGCACCAUAAUUUUCUUCCACCUUUGGCAUAGAGCCACCUACGAGGUAAAACAAGAUAUAUCAAGCACCCGCGGUGGCCGGAAAGUGCACAAGUAAAAGCGCUAUGCUUUUGUCAAAGACAUAAACACUCAACUCAAGUUCAAUUUCUUGAGGGAUAGCACUGCAGCAUGUUAGAUUCUUUUUACAAAGCAACACAGAGAUUAGACCGAAAAAAAGCAACACAGAGAUACAUAAACCAACGGAAUAACAUAACAAACCAGGUGAAGUUGAAGCCUUCUUCACCCCUCAUCAAUCAACGACACAAUUCUGCUAACGCUUUCCGGAACUGAGUGCAUAGGCGGCAUACUCAGGACGAUAGACUUGAGUGACUUGCAUCCAAGCACCAUGUGCUCGAUAUCGGACCAACAAAAUUCAGGACACCACCGCAAAACAAGAGACUGUAGACACCUGUGACCAUAAAAUGCACGAACUCCGGCGCCAGUUACCUGAGAACUACUUAAAUCAAGAAUCUCUAAGUUGGGGCAAUUCUCAGCAACAAAGGCCAUGCUUUGGUCCGACAAAUACUUGUUAGCCAAGUUCAACUUCUUGAAUGAUCGAUCUGGAGAGAUUGCAGAUAUAACUCCAGUAUCAGUGACAUAACAGCCUUUCAAAUUCAGCUCUUCCAAGAAUCGGAAAUUCUGCAAAUGCGAGAGCCCCAAGUCAGUAAUACCCUUGCAGUCAGCCAGCACCAACGUGUUGAGGGUCUUUGUGCACCUUCCCUGUGCUAAAAAUCCCAAACCAUUGUCCGACACACCGCCGCAAAGUUCUAAAUUCAAAUAUAUCAAAUUGCCCACAAGCCCAAUUGCUUCUAACGCAUAGUCAUCGACAUCACUGCAGCCUCCCAAAUCCAAAUAAGUCAGAUUAUAUAACCUAUGUACCCAUCUGGCGGUGGCUACACGCCAUCUCCCUCUGACCGAAACCUUGGACAGUUUCCGAAGAACGCCGCCACGUAACAAACCGUAAAGACCGUUCUCCGGUAACAUCCCUGCCCCGUGUGCGGUGCUGAGAUCGAUGGUCUCAAGUUUUGGACAUGUUUGGGCUACGAAUACGAGGUCGGCUUCCUCGAAAUAAGGCCCGGAUGUCUGGAAUGAAACUAGAUUAGGGAAUCGAGGCAGUACCUUUCGGAGACGACUGAGUCGGAGUAAAGUGAGUGACCUUCUUGUUAGACCCUCGACUGUCAACCAUAGUUUGCAAACUUCGGAGACCCGUUUCCGAUCACCCGGAUCGCUGACCCGUUUGAGGAUGUGACCUAAUAGAUCGUCAUUCAGUUCAGAAAUCGCCACCAUCUUCCCUAAUCGAUUUUCUAACUCCUGGGGGCAAAAGAGGGUUUAUAAAAAAUUUAAAGGAAUUCGCCUAGGAAGUGGGCUAGGCUGAUGGAUGGGCUCGCUAGACGGUAUAUACCUCCCUCAGGCCCAAAACAUCUGUCGCCUAGGCCCGUUAGGCGAUUUUUAAGAAAACCUUUAUACGACGUCGUUGCCUUACCUCUCUCGCUCAGGUUCAUGAAUUACUGGACUUGGAUUCUUUAGGUCUUGGCGAUUUCUCUUUGUUGUUGGGGAUUUUGGGCUAAAAAGAUUGAGAAUUUGACGGUGAAUUGCUGCUGGGAAUCUGGGAUUCACUACUAAAUAGAACAAACUACAAACCCAAUGUUCUUGUUCGGCGUCUCACACACUAGUGCAUUUCUCAAGUGUAUAACCCAAGUGAUAUAUUCAAAGUUAGACUAUCAGGAUCAGAUCAUUCAGAUGCGAGCAAGCAUUGCUAGGAGAAGAGAUUUUUCUUGGAAGACAUUAAGAAAUGUGCUCUACUUCUCAUGUCAAAAUCAAGAAGAGAGCAAAAGAACAGAUACUUAGCAAAGUUCAAGACAGCUUGCUUAAGGAAUGGUUCUGUUGUUAUUGAUGGUGAGGCAGCGGCUUUCUUACCUACAUUUGCAGUGGAAGAAGAGAAUACUUUGGGAUGACUGAAACUGGUUGUAGGUCUCUCUGUUACCUGAGGUGGAUUGAAUUAUGACACACUGGAAAUGAGAUUGAAGAAGUCUAGACAUACUACUGAUACUCGGCUCUACUGAUAGAUCACUUAUUAGUUCUAUAUGUUAAUAUGUAGCUGUACGUUGCAAAUUCAUUGACCAAACAUUAACACAACAAAACCCAAUCAGACUCACUCAUGACGACAAUUCACGUUUGACAUGAAAAUGAAGAGAGAGAAAAACCAGGCAUCAAAUUUAAGUUUUUCACAAACACUCAAAAUAAUACACAUCUACCUUCUACCUCACAAUGGUAGAAAUGCAGGUAUUGUAAUUCAACUUUAACUUGUCACAACCUUUUCCACGCACUAUCAAUGUCUUCCACCUUCUGCAUGGAGCCUACCUACGAGGAAAAAUAAGAGAUUGCAAGCACCUACUGCCGGAAAUUGCACAAGCGGCAACGUUAGUAACAUUAUAUGCAGUAAAAUUCAGCAUCUGUCAGAGCAAUAAGCUUCUGUCAAAGACAUAAGACACAACCCAACUCAAGUUCAAUUUCUUAAGGGAUAGCAUUGCAGCAUAUUAAAUCCAGUUUUCUCAAGCAACUCAUACAUAAACCAAAUAAUCCAGCAUCUUUAAUCUGAACUAAACACUUUCCAGUCAUCAUACAACGUCACAAUUCUGCUAAGGCUUUCCGGAGCAAAUGAGCACGUAAACUGCCAACUUAGUUCGAUAGACUUGAGUGACUUGCAUUCAAGCAACAAGUGCUCCACAUCUUCCCAAUAAUAAACAAACCACCUGCGCAAAACAAGAGACUCUAGGAACCUGUGACUGGAAAGUGCACAAAUUCCGGCACCAGUUACACGACAACAACUUAAAUCAAGAAACUCUAAGUUGGGGCAAUUCUCAACAACAAAAAACAGGCUUUGGUCUGACACAUUCUUCAACCUGCCCAAGUUCAACUUCUUGAGGGAUCGAUCGAGGAUUACCAGAAAUUGCAGAUAUAACUCCACUAUCAGUGACAAGCCUUCCGUACCCGCAGCUUUCCAAAACCAGCUCUUCCAAGCAUUGCAUAUUCUGCAAAUGUGAGACCCCGGAAUCAGUUAUACCCUUGCAGUAAGCCAGCACCAAUGUGUUGAGGGUUUUUGAACACCUUCCAUGUGCCAACAAUCUCAAACCAGUGUCCGAAAUCUCGGACUUUUCCAAAUUCAAAUAUCACAAGUGCACACAAGCGCAAUUGCUUCUAACGCAUCGUCAUCGAUCUCAACCGCAUAGUCAUCAUCGACCUGACCGCACUCUCCCAAAUCCAAAUAUGUCAAAUUAGGAAACCUAUGUAUCCAUCUGUCGGUGGCUACACACCAUCUCCCUCUGACCGAAACCUUGGACAGUUUCGGAAGGCCGCCACCACUUGACAGACCGUAAAGACCGUUCUCCGGUAAAAACAUUGAUUCGAAUUGUUCGGCGCUGAGAUCGAUGGCCUCCAGUUUGGGACAUGUUUGGGCUAUGAACUCGAGGUCGGCUUCCUCCUCGAUAAGUUGUAACUAGAUUCGCGAAUCGAGGCAGUACCUGACGGAGACGACUGAAUUCGUAUAAAGUGAGUGACCUUCUUGUUGGACCCUCCAGUGUGAACCAUUGUUUGCAGACUUGGAGAACCUGUUUCCGAUCACCGGGCUCGCUUACCCUUUCCAGGAUCUGACCUAAUAGAUCGUCAUGCAAUUCAGAAAUCUCCACCAUCUUUGAUUUUCUGGUUUCUAGGGUUUUUGAGCAAAACAGGGUUUAGGAAUUUUAUUAUAUCUUUUUAAAGGAAACCGCCUUGGUCAUUGCCUUCUAUAUUGGAGACGAGAUAGUUGGUACAAGCCGGUAAAGAACAGAUACUUAGCAAAGUUCAAGACAGCUUGCCUUAAGAAUGGUUCUGUUGUUAUUGAACCUACAGUCGUGGAAGAAGAGAAUACUUUGUAAUAACAGAAGCUUGUUGUAGGCUUAAAAAUUAACCUGCAAGGCAAAGUCUCGAUCAAACCGUAUUUGCUUCAGAGAAUUUAAAAGCCUUUAGAUUGUUGCUUAAAGAGAAAAUCAUGAGUUUGUAUGUAAAAUACUAGUAAAUAAAACCCGCCUAACGGUGCUUUAGACACCACCCGUGCGUUGUUGCGGACUAUGAUUUCUUGAUGAUGAACAAUAUUCAAUCCCAAUCUCACGCCUCCCAUGCCACCACCUUUUCUCUACCGCCGAUUCCCCCGCCUUCCCCUAUUUUUCCACAAACACAUCCAUUUUUCCCAAAUCCACCACCAACAUCAUGGUCUCCAUGCUUGCAAAAUCCACCACUCACCUCCAAUUCUACCACCUCCUAUUCCGCCACCUGCACAAAAUUCACCAUCAAUCUCAUAGCCUCUACCAUCAUUUUUUAAUUCCACCACUGUACCAUGGUCUUCCCCUUGCCAAAACCCACCAUGGACAUCUCUAACCCCAUGCCCACAACCAAGUAAAAAAUAGAAAAUAAAGAAGUAACAAAAUUUUCAAUGACACAAACGUCUUUUUGAUCAUAAUAAUUGAACAUUUGUAAAUAAAUUUGCAUUAAAAGGUAACACAGUGUUUUUGUUCAAUAUAAUGACAGAUUCUUAAAUAAAUUGCAUUAAAGGGCAAAAACAACUAUUCACCAGCUAGGGGCAAAAACACAACUCACCCGAAUUUUGGGGGAAAAACACAAUUCAACAAAGAUAUGAACAGUGUUUUUUCCCUUGUUGUUUUAUUUUAUAGAAUGUGUUCACUGUUCGUAACUAUGUGUGAUGCUGCUACAAACGCAAAAGUGCAUGUUAACAUCACUAAUGAUUUGUCUCCAAUCCGGCAUGGAAUUCGCACAUGUCUCGAUUUACAAUGUAAAACGCAGAAACACGACUUUGGUGGUUCGGUGAUCCCCUAUAGAUCGUCCUCUGAAUUCGUUUUUUCACCAUAUAUUAUUAGGAGGAACACCAUAUUGCAGUGCGAUUAGCUUUCACAGUUUCACUCAUACAACCAAAAGAGCAAAACAACAGAACAAUAUAAGAACAGAACAGAACUUGAACCAGGUGACAGAUUCUACUAAACCAAAGUAUUGCAAUCCUAUAGCAGUCUGUUGUUUGCGGAUAAGUUACAGAAGAAAGCGAAGAUCAUUCUUACUCAGUUACCAUUACAGAAUGCUUAUCGUUGUGAUUAUAGUCAUUUCUUGAUGAGGGCAGAGUGUACUUUCCCUUUGUUUUUAAAGUGUUGAAAUCUACAACUAGAUCGAUAAAGUUGCUAUUGAUUUUCAUGAUAGAGAUCCUUAGAGCAAUAUAACAACAGAACAGAACUUGAACCGGGUGAACAGCAUAAGAAUUCAACUAAACCAAAGUAGUGCAAUCCUAUAGCAGUCUAUUACUUACUAAACCAAAACAGUAUUAGAACAGAACCAAAGGUUCUCCAAAUUUGGGCCAUCAUGAAAAGAACCUCACAAUACCAGUGACUUUAUAAGAGCAUGUUGAAUUUAGUUUUUACAACCAAUACAUAUUGCGCAAUAUGGGUGACCCAAUCAAAAAUUGCUAAACAAAUGAAAACAUAACAAACCUGGUGAAGUUGAAGCCAUCAAUGGUGAAAAGUUUUUAUCCUGGUAUAUUUAUUUAUGUUAAUCAAUACAAGGGUAAAAUAGUGAUUAAAAUUGUUCAGAAAAAAUUAAAGAGGUGCAAAUAACAAAUGAGGAGGUGCAACUAGAAUCACCCAAAUAUAAAUUUCAUAUCUACCUUCUACCACACAAUAGUCCAAACGCAGGUAUUCUAAUUCAAUUUCAACUUGUUACAACCUUUCCCAGACACCAUAAAUGUCUUCCACCCUUGGCAUAGAAAAUGCACAAAUAACAGCACUUCUUAUAUUACAAUUAGUAAAAUUCAGCAUGUCUAAGCUGUGGUAAUUCUCAGCCAGAACAACAAUGCUUCUGUCAAAGACAUAAGACACCCAACUCAAGUUCACUUUCCUCAAGUUCACUUUCUUGAGGGAUAGCAUUGCAGCAUAUUAAAUUCAGUUUUUCAAAGCAACAUAAACCGAUGGAAAAACAUAAGAACAAACCUGCUGAAGUUGAAGCUUCACCACUCAUGAAUCAACGUCACAAUUCUGCUAAUGCUUUCCGGAACUGAGUCAUUCAUAGGCGGCGUACUCAGGACCAUAGACUUGAGUGACUUGCAUCCAAGCACCAUGUGCCCGAUAUCAGACCAAUAAAAUUCACCACAAUCUCGCAAAACAAGAGACUCUAGACACCUGUGACCAGAAAAUGCACGUAC